CAAGGCAUAGCUUAAAUAAAGCAUCUAGUUUACACCUAGAAGAUUUCAUACAAAAUGACUGCCUUGAA
rnacentral:tRNA from 1 species